ACCCGGAGGUCGGCUGGGGGUGUGGCGCCCUAUGACCUAUUCACAGCUGCGCUGGGCGUGCGCGCGCCCGAGCGGCGCGAGGUCGGGGUCGGGGGAUGUCGCAGUGGCUGGUGGUGGCGGCCGGGCCGCUCGCCGUGCUGUGGCGAUGCGGCGGUGGCCCACGAAGCGGCAGGACGGCCGAGGCAGGCGUGAGGGCCCUCGGAACCGCCCAGCAGUGCCUCCAGGGAAUCCGCUUUCAGCAGUUGGCUCUGUGGAAGAGACAGACGUCAGUUUCCCAGUGGCUGUGUUCAAAACCACCCAAAGGAACUAGUGAACCAAAGGACGCUGGUCCUGGAGCGGAUGGAGAGAAGAGAGGAGGAAAGCGGUAUGACCUUGCCUGGUGGAAGCGGUUGCAGAAGGGAGAGGUCCCCUGGGAUGACAAGGAUUUCCGCAGUCUGGCUGUUCUGGGGUCAGGUGUUGCUGUGGGAUUUCUCUACUUCUGUUUCCGAGAUCCUGGGAAGGAAAUCACCUGGAAGCACUUCGUGCAGUAUUACCUGGCGAGAGGUCUGGUGGACCGGCUGGAAGUCGUGAACAGACAGUUUGUGCGUGUUAUGCCUGCCCCUGCGACGUCUGAGAAGUUCGUGUGGUUCAACAUCGGCAGCGUGGACACCUUCGAGCGCAAGCUGGAGACCGCCCACUGGGAGCUGGGCAUCGAGCUCGCGGAGCAGACGGCCGUGGUCUACACCACCGAGAGCGACGGGUCUUUCUUGCGAAGCCUGGUGCCCACCUUUCUCCUGAUCGGAAUCCUCCUCUAUGUCGCGAGGAGGGGCCCGAUGGGGGCUGGGCGUGGCAGGCGAGGAGGGGGCCUCUUCACCGUUGGCGAGACCACAGCCAAGAUCAUGAAGAACAACAUCGGCGGUGCGCUUUGCAGACGUGGUUGGUUGCGAAGAAGCCAAGUUGGAGAUCGUGGAGUUUGUGAAUUUCCUGAAGAAUCCCAAGCAGUAUCAGGACCUUGGGGCCAAAAUUCCAAAGGGAGCCAUGCUCACUGGUCCUCCUGGUACCGGCAAAACGAUUCUCGCCAAGGCGACUGCAGGGGAGGCCAGUGUGCCCUUCAUCACCGUGAAUGGGUCCGAGUUCCUGGAAAUGUUUGUCGGCGUCGGUCCAGCUCGGGGUUCAGCUCUACCACGAACGUCAUGGUGCUGGCCGGCACCAGCCGCCCCGACAUCCUCGACCCAGCCCUGACGCGGCCUGGCCGGUUCGGCCGUCAGGUUUACGUUGCCCCCCCUGACAUCAAAGGCAGGUCGUCCAUCUUCAGGGUCCACCUGCGUCCACUCAAGUUGGACGAGAGCCUCAGCGAGGACGCCCUGGCGAGGAAGCUUGCGGCCCUCACUCCAGGCUUCACAGGUGCUGAUAUUUCUAACGUUUGCAACGAAGCGGCCCUGAUCGCCGCCCGCCACCUGAGUCCUUUUGUCCGGGAGAAGCACUUGGAGCAGGCCGUUGAGAGGGUCAUCGGAGGUCCCGAGAAGAAGACGCGGGUCCUGCAGCCCAGUGAGAAGAUGACGGUGGCCUACCAUGAGGCCGGCCACGCGGCGGUGGGCUGGUUCCUGGAGCACGCAGACCCCCUGCUCAAGGCGUCCAUCAUCCCCCGGGGCAAGGGGCUCGGCUACGCCCAGUGCCUGCCCAGGGAGCAGUGCCUGUACACGCGGGAGCAGCUCUCGGACCGCAUGUGCGCCGUGCUGGGUGGCCGGGUGGCCGAGCAGCUGUUCUUCGGGCAGAUCACCAUGGGGGCCCAGGAUGACCUGAGGAAGGUCACCCAGAGUGCCUACGCCCAGAUUGUGCAGUUCGGGAUGAGCAAGAAGCUGGGCCAGGUGUCCUUCGACCUCCCCCGACCCGGCGAGGUGCUGGCGGAGAAGCCAUACAGCGAGGCCAUGGCCCAGCUCAUCGACCAGGAGGCUCGGCGGCUGGUCAGCUCCGCGCACGCGCGCACCCCGGACCUGCUGACGUGCUGCCGGGAGCAGGAGACCUGGUGCCGGUACUGGGACGCCCACCUCCUCCUCGGCCACAGAAAAGAAAGCGCUAUUCACCUGUGCAUCCGGCAGAUUCCUGAGCGGGACUUGGAUGAACAAAAUAGCUCCCUUUGGCAGUGGUCUGGUCUUUAUUUUGUAAAUCCUGGUGUCCUGGCCUGUGUCAAAGCUGUGCAGGGGAGGAAGAAAAAGCAGAAGAUGCAACUUCUGGCAUCAAGGACACUGAUCUUUUGGCUGGAAGGAUGUGAAGGAAGCAGGACCUUUGCUUGGUCCUCGUGCGCAGCAAGGGGGGGUCUCCACUGAGAGAAGGGGACACGGAGCUCAGAGGGGCCUGGCUGCUUUGCCGGCAUCCCCAGCCUUUGCUCUCCAAACCUGCCCCAUCAAAUCCUCGCAAAGCUGCCACCCGGAAGCCCCGGGGUCCUCGUACUGCCAAUGGGAAGAAAAAGCUGGAUCCCUCCCACGAACAACAAAACAAAGAAAACCCACACCCACUAGCCCCUGAGUGUCUCUGGUGGUGCUUGGAGGGAGCGUGACAUGAGCCCCUAGACAGCCGUCUGGAAUGCACCUGCCCAACUCAGCCUGCAGACAGAGCAGUAGGUGGACCCACUGCUGCAGGACACCUCCAGGGCCAGCAUUUUGGUCUCCAGAGCAGGCCACUGGUGUGGCUAGGGGACCCCCAGCGGACCCCUAUGUGGUCAGGGAGUGGCUCCUUGGCAUGGGACCUCCAGGAAACCCCGGGGGCAUCUGGGGCCUGGCUGGGUGGGUGGAGGAGCCCGGCACUUUGCAUCCAAGUUCCGAGGCCGAUGGCACAGGAAACCCCUCCUGAAAGGUUCCUGGGAGGUUCCUAUGAACCUGUCCUAGGAAAGGUUUCCCUCCCACCGGGCCAGGGCCAGAGUAGGGCCAGACUCCAAGGGGAGAGACCCCCGGUACAUCUCUACCGUCCCGACAGCUGGCAGGGGCCGUGAAGAGGGGUCACUCCGUGCACACCUGCCCUCCCAGAUGUGUGAGCUCCUGGGCCUCGCCCCGGCAGCCAGCAACCCCUGCCGGCGUGGGAGCCUCCGCAGGCGGCGCCAGGUGAAGCUGAACACAGGGUAGGCAGCCGACCAAGGUGCCACAGCCGGGCGCUGGAAGCCAGGAGAUCCAAAUGCAAGCCCAUGGUCUGCACAAAGACAAAACAAACCGAAGAAAAGCAUCAGGGAGACAGAGUUUGUUCCCAGCUGGGCGUGGAAAAAUCCGCAGAGGAGGGAGAACUUUCUGCUCCCGUCAAGACAUUCCCUGUCUGUGCCCCUUCUGCUCGAACCUGGGCAAGCUUGUGGCUGCUCUGGCCAGUGGACUGUGGCAGGUUGAUGCCAUGUGACUUCCAAGGCUGCGUCUUAAGUAGGAUUCAGCUCUUUCCGAAGGCUCCCCUGGAACCCGGCCACCCUGUGUGAGAAAGCCCAGGCCAUUUGAGGGGCCACUUGAGUGUUUUCUGGCCCACAAUAGCCAAUGAACCAGACAUAAGGUCUCAGCCAGUAGCCAGGCGUGAGAGCCUGCCUUUGAGCCACCCCCAGGGGUAAUAUGUAGAACCGAGGUGGGCUGUCCCCACCGAGUCCCAGCCAAGUUGCAGAUUCAUGGGCAAAACAGAUGUUGUCGGGCUUCCCUGGUGGCGCAGUGGCUAAGAAUCCGCCUGCCAAUGCAGGAGACACAGGUUCGAGCCCUGGUCCGGGAAGAUCCCACAUGCCGUGGAGCAACAAAGCCUGUGCGCCACAACUACUGAGCCUGUGCUCUACAGCCCGUGCUCUGCAACAAGAGAAGCCACCGUAAUGAGAAGCCUGCGCAUUGCAAUGAAGAGUAGCCCCCCGCUCGCCACAACCAGAGAAAGCCCGCACGCAACGAAGACCCAACGCAACC